rnacentral:rRNA from 1 species
AGUAAAUUGAGAAAUGACAUUCUAAGUGAGUUAGGAUGCCACGACAAUUGUAGAACACACAGUGUUUAACAAGUAACCAAUGAGAAUUUCUGAUCUAUCAAUCAGUUGGUAGUAUCGAGGACUACCAAGAUUAUAACGGAUAACGAGGAAUUGGGGUUCGACAUCGGAGAGGGAGCUUUACAGAUGGCUACCACUUCUAAGGAAGGCAGCAGGCGCGUAAAUUACCCACUUUCGAAUUGAAGAGGUAGUGACGACACAUAACUCUAGAGUUGAGUAAAAUCAAUUCUUGAAGGAAUGAGUAGGAGGUAAAUUCUCCUACGAAAUCAAUUGGAGGGCAAGUCUGGUGCCAGCAGCCGCGGUAAUUCCAGCUCCAAUAGUGUAUAUUAAAGUUGCUGUGAUUAAAACGCUCGUAGUUGAAUUAAAAUGUGAUUUUAUACAUUUUGAAGACUUUACAUUAAGUGAAGUUUCUAGAAAUGUUAAAUUAAAAUCAAAGAAGGAGACAAUUCAAGUAAUUGAGUUGUCAUUACUUUGAAUAAAAUAAGGUGUUUAAAGCAAAACAUUAUGUUAAUGAAUAUUCAAGCAUGGGACAAUGCUGAGGAGAUGUCAAUUAGACAUUUCGAGAGAAGGAUUAAAAGGAACAAUUGGGGUGAUUCAGAAAAUAACGGGAGAGGUGAAAAUCCAUGAUCGCUAUAAGAUGCACGAGAGCGAAAGCAUUUCACUCAACUGGGUCCAUUAAUCAAGAACGAAAGUUAGGGGAUCGAAGACGAUCAGAUACCGUCGUAGUCCUAACUAUAAACGAUGUCAACCAAGGAU